rfam:Chloroflexi bacterium CSP1-4 XT10_C0019, whole genome shotgun sequence.
CCUCGGCAGGGAGGCGUAGAAAGGCGGGCCCGUCACGGCCGCCAAGCCCGCGUAGAGCCACUGGCGAGCCCGGCCCGACAAGCU